GGACUACAAGGGUUUCUAAUCCUGUUCGCUACCCACGCUUUCGUGCCUCAGCGUCAAUAAUUGGCUUAGUGAGCUGCCUUCGCAAUCGGUGUUCUACAACAUAUCUAAGCAUUUCACCGCUACAUGUUGUAUUCCGCCCACUUCAACCACAUUCAAGCUAAACAGUUUCAUUGGCAGUUUCACAGUUAAGCUGCGAGCUUUCACCAAUGACUUAUAAAGCCGCCUACGCACCCUUUAAACCCAGUGAAUCCGGAUAACGCUUGCACCCUCCGUAUUACCGCGGCUGCUGGCAC
rnacentral:rRNA from 1 species